GAGAAGGAGAAGCCGCUGGAGGUGGAGAAGAUGUGCAGGACUGCAGGUAGAGCUGGGGAAAAGGCACAGCCAGGACACAGCCCAGACCGUCUGCCUGAAGGCCCCAGAGAAGCUCCUAACUGCCGUGUCAUCCUGCCUUUCAACAAGGGAGAAAAACACAGGUUCACCUGUGCACAGAUACACACAUCACAAAGCAAAGCAUACACAUACAUCCAUCACACAUGUACACAUGACUCACACAACACACGCAGCCACAUACAGACACACACUCCUCACUCAUAAAUGUAUGUGUACGCACAGAUGCACACAUGCACCACACACACACAUGCAUUCAUGACACAUGUACACAUGACUCACACAAUGUAUACACCCACAUACAGAGACACACGUCUCACCGAUAAAUAUAUGCAUACACACAGAUGUACACAUGCACAGAUACAUGCACUAUACAUACACUCACAUACACAUGCAUUCAUCACACAUGUACACACGACUCACACAAUGUACACACGACUCACACAAUGUACACACCCACAUACAGAGACACACAUCUUACCCAUAAAUAUAUGCGUACACACAGAUUCACACAUGUACAGAUACAUGCACCACACAUGCACAAACAUACACAUGCAUUCAUCACACAUGUACACAUGACUCACACAAUGUACACACGACUCACACAAUGUACACACAACUCACACAAUGUACACACCCACAUACAGAGACACAGGUCUCACCCAUAAAUAUAUGCAUACACACAGAUGCACACAUGCACAGAUACAUGCACUAUACAUACACUCACAUACACAUGUAUUCAUCACACAUGUACACACGACUCACGUGACAUACACACCCACAUGAAGACACACACCUCUCACCCAUAAACAUAUGUGCACACACAGAUGUACAUAUGCACAGAUACGUGCACCACACAUAAACAAGCAUACAUGUGCAUUCAUCACACACAUACACACGACUCAUACAACGUACAUGGCCACAUACAGACACAUACCUCUUACCCAUAAAUAUAUGCAUACACACAGAUGCUCAUAUGUACAGAUACAUGAACCAUACACUCACAUACACUUGCAUUCAUCACACAUGUACACAACUCACACAAUGUACACACACACACAGACACAUACCUCUCACCCAUAAAGUAUGAGUAGACACAGAUGCAUGCAUGCACAUACACAUGCAUUCAUCACACAUAUACACACCACUCACACAACAUACACACCCACAGACAGACACACACAUCACACCCAUAAAUGUAUGCGCACACACACAAAUGUAUGCAUGCACACACAUGUAUAGAUACAAGCACAACACACUCAUAAAGAUACACACAUACAUCGCACCCAUAUUCAUAAAUCACACGAUAUACACACCCACAUACAGACACAUUGCACUCACCCAUAAACCCUCACAUACACAGAUACACACAUUCCAGUACAUGCAGCACACACACUUGCAAACACAGAGUCAUCACACACAUGCACACGACUCACACAAUGUACACACCCGUGUAUAGAUACUACAUACCACUCACACAUAAACACAAACAUACAUGUAGGUACACACACAUGGAUACACACUACAAAGACAUCUCCACAUACACAUGUGCCACACAGACUCACACAUACGUAUUCAGUACACAUACAUACUUCUGUUCAUGCACACACACUUUUACACGCUCAUAUGCUCACUCCACCACACAUAAACCACACAUUUACACAUACUAACACAUGCACACACACUUUUACACGCUCAUAUGCUCACUCCACCACACAUAAACCACACAUUUACACAUACUAACACAUGCACACACUCACACCCAUAAACAGAAGCUCGCACACACAGGAAUCACACGCGAACAUGCACACACGGGUAUUGCCAGCCUGCACGCUCCCAAGGAGGUGCAUACUCCUGUGUAGAUAUGUGAAGAGACUGCACCCCAUUUUGCACCCUUGCUCGUGGCCAGGUUUUGGGGAUGGCUCCCCUAUUUAGACUCUUCCUCUCACGAAGCUGAAAGGAAACGUUCACUCAGGGCUUUCUCUCAUCACUGUAGGCUCUGAACUCCCUCGCCCUUCAGGUCAAAUAACCUGUACCCUGCUGGUUCCGGGAAGCUCUGUUAUCACAGAAAAACACACCCGCUGCUCCAGCCCUGUGGGAAUAUGGCACCGCAUCUGCCUGUGGUCUCUGUCCAAAUUUCCAAAGACAAUGAAAAGUAAUGGUGACGAUGAUGUCGAUGAUGAAGAAAACAAUAAUAAGUGAGAAGAAUCGCUCACUAGGUCCCAGGCACAUUGCCAAGUGGCUUACAUAUUGUCUUCUCCUAUGAUAAGUAUUUUUAGCCCUUCUUUCAUAGAUGAGUAAAUUAAGGUACAGAGAUGACAAAUAAUUGGCCCAAAUCCAAUAGCCAAGAAGUCACAAAAUCAAGAUUCUCAACAGUUCCCUUUGGGUCUGAUCCUAGAGUUGUACCCUUCCCCAUUCCAUGGCAUUAGGGAGGCGGAAGGAAACUCCCUUUCUGCUUCCUGGAAUCCAGGCUGGCUUGGUGACUUGCCAACCACAGAACGCUGUGGAAGGGACAUUCUGGGGCUUCCCAUCUCCAACAUAAGAAGCUAAGAAGGCUGCAGCUUCCACCGGGCCUCUUGGGCUGCGUACUCUUGACACUCCUGCUCUGAGAACUAAGCAGGCAUAUUUCAUAUCAAAAUAGUAAAGAACUUCCUUUCCAAAGGCAGGACUUGCUUCUGUGAGGUACUGAGCCACCCGUCCCUGGAGGAAAGCAAGAACAGAGCAGAUCAGAGCCCAGGAAGACAUCUUGGAUGAUGGGUGAGAUCUUCCUGGGGUUCUUGCUGUACCUGCUGACAAGGGGCAGCUCUCUCUAAAUGCCACGGAGCUGGAAGGCUGCAGCCUGGAACUUGCUGCAGCCCACCCAGGCAAGCAAGAGAUGACAUAGUUUCAGCACCUGUAUCUAUGGCACCCAGAAGCCAGAUCCAACCCCCCAGCCCUUAUCUUUGACCUUGAGCCAGUCUGAAUUGGUAACUGGAAGUCACUUAUCUACCAGAUUCAACUAUCAGGAUGUUACUAAUAAAAAAUGACUCCAAAAAUGAAAA